rnacentral:rRNA from 1 species
UACGUAGGAUGCAAGCGUCGUCCGGAUUUACUGGGCGUAAAGCGCGCGCAGGCGGCAUACCAAGUAUUCAGUGAAAUCUCCCUGCUCAACGGGGAGGGUGCUGAGUAGACUGGUAAGCUAGAGGACGGUAGAGGGGGGUAGAAUUGCUGGUGUAGCGGUGAAAUGCGUAGAUAUCAGGAGGAACACCGGUGGCGAAGGCGGCUACCUGGACAGAAACUGACGCUGAGGCGCGAAAGCUAGGGGAGCAAACAGG